UGCACUGUAUGAUCAGUUUCUGUCCGCCAAGCACCGCUGUCGUCCACUGGUCUUUGUCGAAGACACAAUAUUUUCCAGUUGUAUUUUACACGUUUUAUAUCAAAUCUUCCGGAAUGGGAAAGAAAGAAGAAGAUGAGAUCAUUAGAAUCGCCAAAAAGAUGGAUAAAAUGGCGCAGAAGAAAAGCGGGUCUGGUGCAUUGGAUCUACUGAAGGAGCUUAGGAGCAUCCCCAUGACUCUCGAACUGCUUCAGUCCACCAGAAUUGGCAUGUCUGUGAACGCCAUACGCAAGCAGAGUACGGACGACGAGGUGACAUCUCUAGCCAAGGCGCUGAUCAAGUCCUGGAAGAAGCUUUUGGAUGAGCCUGGGGGCGGAGACAAAUCCACAGAGGACAAAAGGAAAGACUCCACAAUGCCUGUGGUCUGUCCUUCACAAGGGAGUCCGGAGCCCAAAGAAGAAAGCUCCAGCAGUAACUCCAGCAGUAAGAGUGAGCCCGUCGACCUCAACACCAACACACUCAUCUCAACCUUCCCUCGGGCACCUGGUACAUCGGACUCAGUCAGAAUAAAAUGCAGGGAGAUGCUGUCCAAUGCACUGCAGACCGGAGAUGACCAUAUUGCUAUUGGUGCCGACUGCGAUGAACUUGGGGCUCAGAUUGAGGAAUGCAUCUUCCACGAGUUCAAGAACACUGACAUGAAAUACAAGAACCGGGUGCGGAGCCGGAUCUCCAACCUGAAGGACGUGAAGAACCCGAACCUGAGGAAGACGGUGCUGUGUGGGAACGUGUCCCCGGAACGGAUGGCCAAGAUGAUCGCAGAGGAAAUGGCCAGUGACGAGCUGAAAGAGAUGAGGAAGAAGCAGACCAAAGACGCUGUAAGGGACCACCAGCUGGCCACGACCAGCGGCACCCAGACAGACCUGUUCACCUGUGGAAAGUGCAAGCAGAAGAGGUGUACCUACACUCAGGUAUGGGCUACCUACAGUCACUUACACUCAGGUAUGGGCUGCCUACAGUCACCUACACUCAGGUAUGGGCUGCCUACAGUCACCUACACUCAGGUAUGGGCUGCCUACAGUCACCUACACUCAGGUAUGGGCUGCCUACAGUCACCUACACUCAGGUAUGGGCUGCCUACAGUCUGCGGUGGGAUAGGAUACAGUGGACAGCUGUGUUUCCGAUUCUUUUGGGUUGUAUUUGAGAUGUUGAGUAGUUGACCCAUUCUACUGCUUGUAAGUUGUUAGUGGUGUGAUGUGGUUCUUGGUGCAAAGUGAGGAAAGUUACUGAUGAUGCCACCGUGUUUGCACCUGCUCACUCUUUAGGUCCAGACCCGCAGUGCUGAUGAGCCUAUGACCACGUUUGUCUUCUGUAUGGAUUGCGGAAAUAGAUGGAAGUUCUGUUGAAGGAGAAAAUGAAUUUCCUUUGGAUUUAGAGAAGUAGCUAAAAUCCCGGACCAGGAUUCUGUAUCUACAACAGAUAGAAACGUUGUAUUCUGUGGUACCUGGUGCACAAAUUGCCACAAAAGAAAUCGCAUCCGUUUUUAUUGAAUACCUUGUUCAUAGACCCGAUCCUUGUCAAUACCAAGUCCUGUUUUAAGAGAUACCCCCCUGCCAGAGUAUGAUCAAUCUUGUUGUCUCCCAGUUUCUUUUACCAUCAAUUUUUAUAUGUAGUUUUAACAUUUUGACAGCUAUGACAUACAUUUACUACUAUGUUUUCCUUUGCCCUCACAACAAUGUUUUAUUUAAUUUCCCAAUAAAAUGUAAUCCAUUGGAUUAAAUAAAA